rnacentral:rRNA from 1 species
AGAGCUCAAAUUUAAAAUCUGGCGGCCUCUGGCUGUCCGAGUUGUAAGCUAGAGAAGUGCUGUCCGCGCUGGGGCCAUGUACAAGUCUCCUGGAACGGAGCGUCGUGGAGGGUGAGAACCCCGUCUCUGACAUGGACCUCCCAGGGCAUAGUGAUUGCGCCCUCGAAGAGUCGAGUUGUUUGGGAAUGCAGCUCCAAAUGGGUGGUAAACUCCAUCUAAAGCUAAAUACUGGCGAGAGACCGAUAGCGAA